UACGAAGGGUACAAGCGUUACUCGGAAUUACUGGGCGUAAAGGGUGCGUAGGUGGUCGUUUAAGUCCGUUGUGAAAUCCCUGGGCUCAACCUGGGAAUGGCAGUGGAUACUGGACGGCUAGAAUGCGGUAGAGGGUAGUGGAAUUCCCGGUGUAGCAGUGAAAUGCGUAGAGAUCGGGAGGAACACCAGUGGCGAAGGCGACUUACUGGACACAUAUUGACGCUGAGGUGCGAAAGCGUGGGGAGCAAACAGG
rnacentral:rRNA from 1 species